rnacentral:rRNA from 1 species
UAGCAUAUCAAUAAGCGGAGGAAAAGAAACCAACAGGGAUUGCCCUAGUAACGGCGAGUGAAGCGGCAACAGCUCAAAUUUGAAAUCUGGCUCUUUUAGGGUCCGAGUUGUAAUUUGCAGAGGGCGCUUUGGCGUUGGCAGCGGUCCAAGUUCCUUGGAACAGGACGUCACAGAGGGUGAGAAUCCCGUACGUGGUCGCUGGCCUUCGCCGUGUAAAGCCUCUUCGACGAGUCGAGUUGUUUGGGAAUGCAGCUCUAAAUGGGAGGUAAAUUUCUUCUAAAGCUAAAUACUGGCCAGAGACCGAUAGCGCACAAGUAGAGUGAUCGAAAGAUGAAAAGCACUUUGGAAAGAGAGUCAAAUAGCACGUGAAAUUGUUAAAAGGGAAGCGCUUGCAGCCAGACUUGCCCGUAGUUGCUCAUCCAGGCUUUUGCCUGGUGCAUUCUUCUAUGGGCAGGCCAGCAUCAGUUUGGGCGGUUGGAUAAAGGUCUCUGUCAUGUACCUCCUUUCGGGGAGGCCUUAUAGGGGAGACGACAUGCAACCAGCCUGGACUGAGGUCCGCGCAUUCGCUAGGAUGCUGGCGUAAUGGCUGUAAGCGGCCCGUCUUGAAACACGGACCAAGGAGUCUAACAUCUAUGCGAGUGUUUGGGUGUCAAGCCCGAACGCGCAAUGAAAGUGAACGGAGGUGGGAACCCUUAAGGGUGCACCAUCGACCGAUCCUGAUGUCUUCGGAAGGAUUUGAGUAAGAGCAUAGCUGUUGGGACCCGAAAGAUGGUGAACUAUGCUUGAAUAGGGUGAAGCCAGAGGAAACUCUGGUGGAGGCUCGCAGCGGUUCUGACGUGCAAAUCGAUCGUCAAAUUUGGGCAUAGGGGCGAAAGACUAAUCGAACUAUCUAGUAGCUGGUUCUGCA